AUUGAACGCUGGCGGCAUGCUUUACACAUGCAAGUCGAGCGGCAGCGCGGGGGCAACCUUGGCGGCGAGCGGCGAACGGGUGAGUAAUGCAUCGGAACGUAUCCUGUAGUGGGGAAUAACUCACCGAAAGGUGAGCUAAUACCGCAUAAGCUCUGAGGAGGAAAGCGGGGGACCGAAAGGCCUCGCGCUGCAGGAGCGGCCGAUGUCCGAUUAGCUAGUUGGUGAGGUAAAGGCUCACCAAGGCGACGAUCGGUAGCUGGUCUGAGAGGAUGAUCAGCCACACUGGGACUGAGACACGGCCCAGACUCCUACGGGAGGCAGCAGUGGGGAAUUUUGGACAAUGGGGGAAACCCUGAUCCAGCCAUGCCGCGUGAGUGAAGAAGGCCUUCGGGUUGUAAAGACUCUUUCGGACGGAACCGGAAAUUAGCUUGGACUAAUAACUCUGAGUAGAUAGACGGUACCGUAAGAAGAAGC
rnacentral:rRNA from 1 species